UAUUUUUUAUAAAUAUAUAUUUACGGCUCCUGAGUAAGUCAUCUAUGGUAUUACUCAAAAGCCUUAAGAAUUUUAGAAGAAAGUAAUGCUUGUGUAUAAAAUGGUCCUCUGUUCCUCAGUGUCGUCAUAAACAGUCUUCUACUUUUUUUGGCUUGAAGAAGCUGGAUUCCGUUUCCUCUCUUGCUUGAGAUUUUAUUGUUAUUGACCAAAGAAUCUUGGACGUGAGUUAUCCAUUUCUUUAAAAUUUUUCCUAUUAACCGAGUGUUUUAGAGAGGUACAAAAGUAUUCAACCGUGAAAUGAUCUGCUGUCGACCUUCGAAUUCGAUGCUGGUCUCCAAAUACUUGCUCGACUGCGCAAACGUACCAAUUUGGUGCUCAAUUUCUCUUGCCGUUGGCUACAAAAUCUUAAAGACUUCGUCUCUAGACAUACGAGACUUGCGCUAUAUGUGACUUACCGUUUGUUAAAUCAGUCAUUCUUAGUCAACUAGGAUUUCGUCGCAAAAGAGGACCAUCGUGGAUGUCCAAUGCAAAAUAGAAUAUUGUCAUAGGAAUUGUAAGAAGUCAGUUUUUUCAACAGCGCUGGUGCGAAAUAUGCAGAUUCUAGAAAAAUGGCAUAUCCUUCUUUCUAAAAAAAGUAAGAUCAUCACAGGACUCUCUUUAUCGUAGAAGAUAAUCGUAACACUUUAACAGAAAAUCGAAACCUUUGAAAUUUUUUUCCAGAAAAUCUCGUAGAAUUUUAUUUUCUUUUAAGGAGAAGCAUCGCAUCAUUUUAUCAUAAAAAAGUUGUCAUCGCUGAGUUGAUUUUUUGAAUAAAUUAGUAAUACUAAGAUUUUCAGGACGAUAUAAUUAAUCAUCAUCGCGAAGUCAUAGAUUAACUGCAUCACAAAAUUAUCAUGGAAUUUUAUUGUUAUAUUUAAAAAUAUAAUCGCGUGACGAAAAAAAGGGUCAUUGCAAGAUUUCAUUGCAGAAGAGGAUUAUCACGGGAUUUCGUCAUACAAAAUCAUCGUAGAAUUCCAUUGCAGAAGAGGACCAUAGUGGAAGAUCACAGAACUUUAUCAGAAAAAGGAUUAUUGCGGGAUUUCAUCGCGGAAGAUCGUGGGAUCUUGAUGCAGAAGAGGAUCAUAUAACGAAAUUUCGUCAUACAAGAUCAUAGAAUUCCAUUGCAAAAGAGAACCAUCGUGAAAGAUCAUUAUAGAACUUUAUCA